rnacentral:rRNA from 1 species
AUACGAAGGUCCCAAGCGUUAUUCGGAAUCACUGGGCGUAAAGAGUACGUAGGCGGUUUGGUAAGUCAGGUGUGAAAUCCCGGAGCUCAACUCCGGAACUGCAUCCGAUACUGCCAGACUUGAGUAAUGGAGAGGCAGGUGGAAUUCUCGGUGUAGCAGUGAAAUGCGUGGAUAUCGAGAGGAAGACCAAUGGCGAAGGCAGCCUGCUGGACAUUUACUGACGCUGAGGUACGAAGGCUAGGGGAGCGAAAGGGAUUAGAAACCCCAGUAGUCC